rnacentral:rRNA from 1 species
ACGGGUGAGUAAUGCUUAGGAAUCUGCCUAUUAGUGGGGGACAACAUCUCGAAAGGGAUGCUAAUACCGCAUACGUCCUACGGGAGAAAGCAGGGGACCUUCGGGUUUUGCGCUAAUAGAUGAGCCUAAGUCGGAUUAGCUAGUUGGUGGGGUAAAGGCCUACCAAGGCGACGAUCUGUAGCGGGUCUGAGAGGAUGAUCCGCCACACUGGGACUGAGACACGGCCCAGACUCCUACGGGAGGCAGCAGUGGGGAAUAUUGGACAAUGGGGGGAACCCUGAUCCAGCCAUGCCGCGUGUGUGAAGAAGGCCUUUUGGUUGUAAAGCACUUUAAGCGAGGAGGAGGCUACCGAGAUUAAUACUCUUGGAUAGUGGACGUUACUCGCAGAAUAAGCACCGGCUAACUCUGUGCCAGCAGCCGCGGUAAUACAGAGGGUGCAAGCGUUAAUCGGAUUUACUGGGCGUAAAGCGCGCGUAGGUGGCCAAUUAAGUCAAAUGUGAAAUCCCCGAGCUUAACUUGGGAAUUGCAUUCGAUACUGGUUGGCUAGAGUAUGGGAGAGGAUGGUAGAAUUCCAGGUGUAGCGGUGAAAU